UACGGGGGGGGCAAGCGUUGUUCGGAAUUACUGGGCGUAAAGGGCUCGUAGGCGGCCAACUAAGUCCGACGUGAAAUCCCCAGGCUUAACCUGGGAACUGCGUCGGAUACUGGAUGGCUUGAAUCCGGGAGAGGGAUGUGGAAUUCCAGGUGUAGCGGUGAAAUGCGUAGAUAUCUGGAGGAACACCGGUGGCGAAGGCGACAUCCUGGACCGGUAUUGACGCUGAGGCGCGAAAGCCAGGGGAGCAAACGGG
rnacentral:rRNA from 1 species